CUCAGAGCCUUCUGUUCUCCAGGCUGAAGAGCCCCAGCUCUCUCAUCCUGUCCUUAUAGGAGAGGUGUUCCAUUCCAUGAAUUGUUUUUGUGACUCUUCUCUGGACGUGCUCCAACAGAACUAUGUCUCUCCUGUACUAAUUACUGCACAUUUGGAUACAGUACUCCAGCCUGCCAAAACUUUGUCCCUGACUUGGUCAAAAGUGCAAGGCCACUCACUUCUGCUCACCUGCUUUG
rnacentral:lncRNA from 1 species